rnacentral:lncRNA from 1 species
CCCUAGUAAUCAAAUUACUAACCCCCAGUAACCGACUUAUUACCCUCUAAUAUACAUGUUUGUUGUCUUCCCGUUGAUAGAUACAUCAAUAACACAAAAAAUGAAAUCAAUAACUAAAGUUAUACUUGUAAUCACACAUGAAAGAAACUUAUAACUUGAGCAGAAAUAUAUUUUGAGAACAGAAUUGCAACAUAUUGUACUUAAUCCACAAGAAAUCACAACACUGUAACCUAGCUAUUCUCUUCAACAAGGUGCGUGCCCACAGUUUGGAUUCGGUAUACCAGCCGCACAUUUGUAGUCUUCUUUAUACUGCAAACUCAAACAAAUCCCAAUCACAUGCAAACACAUAUAUAGAUAGUCAAUGAUACAGAGAAGGAAGACGGAGAAUUAAACCCUAACCUCGGAGAGAUCAACCUCGACCUUCGAUGUCGCCGAUCUACACAUUCCGAUCCGACGAUCCGAAGCUAGCACCAAGUAGUCAGAUGCCACCGCCACGUAGUCUGACUCCACGAGCGGGAGCACAACCAGAAGCGCCAGUGCCUCGCGGUUUUGCUAGGAAUAAGGGGCCGGAGUCAGAGAUUGGCGAGCUCUGACGAUGAAACACGAGCCGAAUCUGGAUUCAAAUUCGAUUUCUCAUUGAUUAGACGUGGCGCUGUCCAGAUCGAGGUUCGUCGCCGUCGAGGCCGAGGAGCGUUGUCGUCCAAGCUGAGGUUCGUCGUGUCGAGGCUGAGGAGCGUCGCCGGCGUGGCUGAGAAGAGUCGCCGUCGAGGCUCUCAACGAGAGAGAGAGAGAGAGAGAGAGAGAGAGAGAGAGAGAGAGAGAGAGAGAGAGAGAGAGUAGUAGUAGUAGUAAGNNNNNNNNNNNNNNNNNNNNGAGAGAGAGAGAGAUUAGAUUUGAAUAGAGAGACAAGGGUUUAAUUAUCAGAACAAGGAUAUACUCGUAAUUUUAUUAAAAAUCAUUGAAAUAGGCUAAGAGAAAAUAUUUACAUUGAAAUGGGCAUUAAAAUCCCUGUUUUUGUGUAUUUGGGCAUUUUCCCGAAGAACUAUAUGUUAAAUUUGACUUUUUAAUCUGUGGUAGGAGAUAGUCUUAGUCCCGUUAGGACUAUAAAUAAUUAUGAAUUUUUUCUUUUUCUUAAUUUCUUUAAAAAAUUGGUUAAAUAUGCAUGACAAUGCAAUUGAAAGUGAACGAUAUUAUGUUGGCUAACUAUUAAUUUAAACUCAGAAUUGACAUACAAUAAACUAUGAUACAUGCAAGUUCCAACUCACUCAUAUAUAGAUACUAGCAAAAAAAAACUCACUCAUAUAUAGAUAGCUAGAAAUGUUUUUACUUAACAUGCAACUAUGAUACAAUGCACGGUAACUUGCAACAUACGUAUUAACAUUGUACGUGCUAUAUAUUUUCGAUCAACAUAUUAAUCA